rnacentral:SRP_RNA from 1 species
GCCGGGUGCGGCCUGUAGUCCCAGCUACUCGGGAGGCUGAGGUGGGAGGAUCGCUUGAGCCCAGGAGUUCUGGGCUGUAGUGCGCUAUGCCGAUGGGGUGUCCGCACUAAGUUCGGCAUCAAUAUGGUGACCUCCCGGGAGCAGGGGACCACCAGGUUGCCUAAGGAGGGGUGAACUGGCCUAGGUCGGAAAUGGAGCAGGCCAAAACUCCUGUGCUGAUCAGUAGUGGGACUGCACCUGUGAAUAGCCACUGCAGUCCAGCCUGGGCAACAACAUAGCGAGACCCUGUCUCU